rnacentral:rRNA from 3 species
GUUAUAUGGUCAAGUGAAGAAGCGCAUACGGUGGAUGCCUUGGCAGUCAGAGGCGAUGAAAGACGUGGUAGCCUGCGAAAAGCUUCGGGGAGUCGGCAAACAGACUGUGAUCCGGAGAUGUCUGAAUGGGGGAACCCAGCCAUCAUAAGAUGGUUAUCUUGUACUGAAUACAUAGGUGCAAGAGGCGAACCAGGGGAACUGAAACAUCUAAGUACCCUGAGGAAAAGAAAUCAACCGAGAUUCCCUUAGUAGUGGCGAGCGAACGGGGACCAGCCCUUAAGUUGUAUUGAGAUUAGCGGAACGUUCUGGAAAGGACGGCCAUAGUGGGUGAUAGCCCUGUACGCGAAAAUCCCUUUGCAAUGAAAUCGAGUAGGACGGGGCACGAGAAACCUUGUCUGAAUAUGGGGGGACCAUCCUCCAAGGCUAAAUACUACUGACUGACCGAUAGUGAACCAGUACCGUGAGGGAAAGGCGAAAAGAACCGCGGAGAGCGGAGUGAAAUAGAUCCUGAAACCGUAUGCGUACAAGCAGUGGGAGCCCACUUUGUUGGGUGACUGCGUACCUUUUGUAUAAUGGGUCAGCGACUUAUUUUCAGUGGCGAGCUUAACCGAAUAGGGGAGGCGUAGCGAAAGCGAGUCUUAAUAGGGCGUCUAGUCGCUGGGAAUAGACCCGAAACCGGGCGAUCUAUCCAUGGGCAGGUUGAAGGUUGGGUAACACUAACUGGAGGACCGAACCGACUACCGUUGAAAAGUUAGCGGAUGACCUGUGGAUCGGAGUGAAAGGCUAAUCAAGCUCGGAGAUAGCUGGUUCUCCUCGAAAGCUAUUUAGGUAGCGCCUCAUGUAUCACUGUAGGGGGUAGAGCACUGUUUCGGCUAGGGGGUCAUCCCGACUUACCAAACCGAUGCAAACUCCGAAUACCUACAAGUGCCGAGCAUGGGAGACACACGGCGGGUGCUAACGUCCGUCGUGAAAAGGGAAACAACCCAGACCGUCAGCUAAGGUCCCAAAGUCAUGGUUAAGUGGGAAACGAUGUGGGAAGGCUUAGACAGCUAGGAGGUUGGCUUAGAAGCAGCCACCCUUUAAAGAAAGCGUAAUAGCUCACUAGUCGAGUCGGCCUGCGCGGAAGAUGUAACGGGGCUCAAACCAUGCACCGAAGCUACGGGUAUCAUCUUUUGAUGAUGCGGUAGAGGAGCGUUCUGUAAGCCUGUGAAGGUGAGUUGAGAAGCUUGCUGGAGGUAUCAGAAGUGCGAAUGCUGACAUGAGUAACGACAAUGGGUGUGAAAAACACCCACGCCGAAAGACCAAGGUUUCCUGCGCAACGUUAAUCGACGCAGGGUUAGUCGGUCCCUAAGGCGAGGCUGAAAAGCGUAGUCGAUGGAAAACAGGUUAAUAUUCCUGUACUUCUGGUUAUUGCGAUGGAGGGACGGAGAAGGCUAGGCCAGCCUGGCGUUGGUUGUCCAGGUUUAAGGUGGUAGGCUGAGAUCUUAGGUAAAUCCGGGAUCUUAAGGCCGAGAGCUGAUGACGAGUGUUCUUUUAGAACACGAAGUGGUUGAUGCCAUGCUUCCAAGAAAAGCUUCUAAGCUUCAGGUAACCAGGAACCGUACCCCAAACCGACACAGGUGGUUGGGUAGAGAAUACCAAGGCGCUUGAGAGAACUCGGGUGAAGGAACUAGGCAAAAUGGCACCGUAACUUCGGGAGAAGGUGCGCCGGUGGAGGUGAAGCAUUUACUGCGUAAGCCCCUGCCGGUCGAAGAUACCAGGCCGCUGCGACUGUUUAUUAAAAACACAGCACUCUGCAAACACGAAAGUGGACGUAUAGGGUGUGACGCCUGCCCGGUGCCGGAAGGUUAAUUGAUGGGGUUAGCGCAAGCGAAGCUCUUGAUCGAAGCCCCGGUAAACGGCGGCCGUAACUAUAACGGUCCUAAGGUAGCGAAAUUCCUUGUCGGGUAAGUUCCGACCUGCACGAAUGGCGUAACGAUGGCGGCGCUGUCUCCACCCGAGACUCAGUGAAAUUGAAAUCGCUGUGAAGAUGCAGUGUAUCCGCGGCUAGACGGAAAGACCCCGUGAACCUUUACUAUAGCUUUGCACUGGACUUUGAAUUUGCUUGUGUAGGAUAGGUGGGAGGCUUUGAAGCGUGGACGCCAGUCUGCGUGGAGCCAACCUUGAAAUACCACCCUGGCAACUUUGAGGUUCUAACUCAGGUCCGUUAUCCGGAUCGAGGACAGUGUAUGGUGGGUAGUUUGACUGGGGCGGUCUCCUCCUAAAGAGUAACGGAGGAGUACGAAGGUGCGCUCAGACCGGUCGGAAAUCGGUCGUAGAGUAUAAAGGCAAAAGCGCGCUUGACUGCGAGACAGACACGUCGAGCAGGUACGAAAGUAGGUCUUAGUGAUCCGGUGGUUCUGUAUGGAAGGGCCAUCGCUCAACGGAUAAAAGGUACUCCGGGGAUAACAGGCUGAUACCGCCCAAGAGUUCAUAUCGACGGCGGUGUUUGGCACCUCGAUGUCGGCUCAUCACAUCCUGGGGCUGAAGCCGGUCCCAAGGGUAUGGCUGUUCGCCAUUUAAAGUGGUACGCGAGCUGGGUUUAGAACGUCGUGAGACAGUUCGGUCCCUAUCUGCCGUGGACGUUUGAGAUUUGAGAGGGGCUGCUCCUAGUACGAGAGGACCGGAGUGGACGAACCUCUGGUGUUCCGGUUGUCACGCCAGUGGCAUUGCCGGGUAGCUAUGUUCGGAAAAGAUAACCGCUGAAAGCAUCUAAGCGGGAAACUUGCCUCAAGAUGAGAUCUCACUGGAACCUUGAGUUCCCUGAAGGGCCGUCGAAGACUACGACGUUGAUAGGUUGGGUGUGUAAGCGCUGUGAGGCGUUGAGCUAACCAAUACUAAUUGCCCGUGAGGCUUGACCAUAUAACACCCAAGCAAUU